UCUUCGAUGGUGUAGUUGGUUUUGGCAUUUGUCUAACAUGUAAAAGAUUAUGUGCUAUACACAGAAGGUCCUCAGUUCAAAUCGGUGUUGCAUUA